ACUUACUGCUGACUUAUUGGAGGGAGAGGUUUACUGGUACUUACUGCUGACUUACUGGAGGGAGAGGUUUACUGGUACUUACUGCUGACUUAUUGGAGGGAGAGGUUUACUGGUACUUACUGCUGACUUACUGGAGGGAGAGGUUUACUGGUACUAACUGCUGACUUAUUGGAGGGAGAGGUUUACUGGUACUUACUGCUGACUUAUUGGAGGGAGAGGUUUACUGGUACUUACUGCUGACUUACUGGAGGGAGAGGUUUACUGGUACUUACUGCUGACUUACUGGAGGGAGAGGUUUACUGGUACUUACUGCUGACUUACUGGAGGGAGAGGUUUACUGGUACUUACUGCUGACUUAUUGGAGGGAGAGGUUUACUGGUACUUACUGCUGACUUAUUGGAGGGAGAGGUUUACUGGUACUUACUGCUGACUUACUGGAGGGAGAGGUUUACUGGUACUUACUGCUGACUUACUGGAGGGAGAGGUUUACUGGUACUUACUGCUGACUUAUUGGAGGGAGAGGUUUACGGGUACUUACUGGAAGGAGAGGUUUACUGGUACUUACUGGAAGGAGAGGUUUACUGGUACUAACUGCUGACUUAUUGGAGGGAGAGGUUUACUGGUACAUACUGCUGACUUAUUGGAGGGAGAGGUUUACUGGUACUUACUGCUGACUUACUGGAGGGAGAGGUUUACUGGUACUUACUGCUGACUUAUUGGAGGGAGAGGUUUACUGGUACUUACUGCUGACUUAUUGGAGGGAGAGGUUUACUGGUACUUACUGCUGACUUAUUGGAGGGAGAGGUUUACUGGUACUUACUGCUGACUUAUUGGAGGGAGAGGUUUACUGGUACUUACUGCUGACUUAUUGGAGGGAGAGGUUUACUGGUACUUACUGCUGACUUACUGGAGGGAGAGGUUUACUGGUACUUACUGCUGACUUAUUGGAGGGAGAGGUUUACUGGUACUUACUGCUGACUUAUUGGAGGGAGAGGUUUACUGGUACUUACUGCUGACUUAUUGGAGGGAGAGGUUUACUGGUACUUACUGCUGACUUAUUGGAGGGAGAGGUU